CAGCAUCGCCGCGGUAAUACAGAGGGUGCGAGCGUUAAUCGGAUUUACUGGGCGUAAAGCGUGCGUAGGCGGCUAAUUGAGUCGGAUGUGAAAUCCCCGAGCUUAACUUGGGAAUUGCAUUCGAUACUGGUUAGCUAGAGUGUGGGAGAGGAUGGUAGAAUUCCAGGUGUAGCGGUGAAAUGCGUAGAGAUCUGGAGGAAUACCGAUGGCGAAGGCAGCCAUCUGGCCUAACACUGACGCUGAGGUACGAAAGCAUGGGGAGCAAACAGGAUUAGAUACCCCUGUAGUCCCUGUCUCUUAUACC
rnacentral:rRNA from 1 species